rnacentral:lncRNA from 1 species
AGAGAAUGAAGCAGACCAUUGUAAGGAUGUCUUUGAAAUCUAACUCAGGAGCUGACCUCAAUGACCCAGUGGUAAAGGAACAGAUGUUGGAGCAGAUCAGAAAUGAGCUGGCCAAGAACGGAAACUUCAUCCUAGACCUAUGCUGGAGAGAACUGCCUAAUUGAGAUAUUUUUCGCAAAACAGUUGAACUUGAAAGCCCUGAAGAAUGUACACACUUUGUGUCAGGUAUGAAAAUGACCCUCCUUAUGUUUAGU